AUUGAACGCUGGCGGCAUGCCUUACACAUGCAAGUCAAACGGCAGCAUGGAAGAGCUUGCUCUUCUGAUGGCGAGUGGCGAACGGGUGAGUAAAGCAUCGGAACGUACCGUGUAGUGGGGGAUAACGUAGCGAAAGUUACGCUAAUACCGCAUACGCACUGAGGUGGAAAGCAGGGGAUCGCAAGACCUUGCGCUAUACGAGCGGCCGAUGUCAGAUUAGCUAGUUGGUAGGGUAAAGGCCUACCAAGGCGACGAUCUGUAGCGGGUCUGAGAGGAUGAUCCGCCACACUGGGACUGAGACACGGCCCAGACUCCUACGGGAGGCAGCAGUGGGGAAUUUUGGACAAUGGGGGAAACCCUGAUCCAGCCAUGCCGCGUGAGUGAAGAAGGCCUUCGGGUUGUAAAGCUCUUUCGGCUGGGAAGAAAUCGCACAGGCUAAUACUCUGUGUGGAUGACGGUACCAGCACAAGAAGCACCGGCUAACUACGUGCCAGCAGCCGCCGUAA
rnacentral:rRNA from 1 species